AGCCAGCCGUUGCUGCGGGCAAACUCCGCGCUGCGCGCUGUCCCCACCCCGUGCGUGAGCUCCUUCCUCACGUCCGUCCCCCAGGUGCGGCUCACCACAAGGCCCGUCGUUCCAGAGGAGACAACUGUGGCCCGACAUAGCACAGCUGAGAUCAGAGGCCAGUCCCAGAGUCCAGAUUGUGGUCGCGCUGGGCCACUUGGUCACCCACAAACAGGUGACCCCAACCCAGAGAGAUCAGAGCUGGAGCGAGGAGUGUACAGGAGCGCGUGACAGCCCGAGGAGGCUCCAGAUCCAUGCAGGAGCAGCAGGGAGGUCUUCCUGGAGGAGGGGAUGAGGACGCAGCGAGGAACAGGACGGUCGAGACGCCUGAUCUCACGGAGCCGACGGGUUUAGAGGCAGCACUGAACACGUAACAACGCCCCAUGAACUCUGGGCGAAUCGGAACAGCCGCCGGAUAUCUUGUGUUUGGAACUCUGCUGAGCAAGCCCAGGCUUUGUGGCUCGAUUCCCGUGCACUACUGAGGUCGGGUCUCUCUCCCCCUCCCUCCUGCUGCUUUGCCCCUCCCCGCUCCCGCUUUAGCCCGAUACACAUGGUGACACUGUGUAAAUGAAAUGCCCUAUGUUAUGAUUCUA